GUGUCCUCUGGGGACACAAAAAUUGACUAAGAUCAAAUGCAGUGUAGGAUCUUAUCAGUUUAAUCUGAUACUUCCCCCUAUCCGGAGACCAUAUCGUACAUGGAUUUUUCAGUUCUUGGGCAGUUGCGGAAGCUUGCUUCCUUCGACCCAUGCAUUGACCCGCUAUGGUGGUAUCUUUGGGUACAGUACACCAAAC